rnacentral:rRNA from 1 species
UACGAAGGGGGCUAGCGUUGCUCGGAAUGACUGGGCGUAAAGGGCGCGUAGGCGGAUGGCACAGUCAGAUGUGAAAUUCCCUGGCUUAACUGGUGGGCUUGCGGUCGAUACGGGCAUCACGUGGAGUUCGGCAGGGGAGACUGGAAUUCCUGGUGUAGCGGUGAAAUGCGCAGAUAUCAUUUGGAACGCCAAUGGUGAAAACAGGUAGCUGGGGCUGUGCUGACACUGAGACACGAAAGCCAGGGGAGCAAACGGG